UUCUCUCUCCACCUGUCAACCAUCGCUGUGUCUUCUGACAUCUUCCCUUGCUUUUCACUCUUUUUGCUUCUGAUGUUUUUCAUUCGUUCUCCUCUAAUUUCCGUUCGAUUGUUUGGCUUUCGUGGGUUUCGUUUCCUUUGCUCUCUCUCUCCCUGGUGCCUGUGUUGGUUUCUGUUGUUGUUGAUCUGUGUUCUCUCAUGUCUUGCUCUUCUAUCACCUUAAAGCUUUCCGAUUUUUCGAAAAUUUCACUGUAUUUCGCAGAUUGGAGUCUUCUGUAACAAUCGGAGCUGUUGGGAUUUUGAAAAAAAUGGGAGUAAUUUUUCUUUUGGGUUUCGUCUCUCUGGUAUUUAUACUGAACCCAAAACCCCAAAAGAUUUGAACUUUCUGGAGAAAAACAGGGUUUCAGAUGCAAAGGACGAGAUGGUUAUGUGUGUUUUGUGUAAUUCAUGAUAUUGUAUGAAGUUUGGGUUGAGGUAUCAAUUUACUUGGAAAUGUAUAUAUACAGGUUGAAUAUGCCAUUUGAGAAACUAUGGUUUAUUCCUAUGUUUGUACUCAAAUGCUCUCAACGAAUACCCGCUUUCUCCCUCUCUCAUGAUGAUUGCUGCGUAUUACCAGGCCGAGAGAAGGGGAGAAUCCAGCCUUCCCAAACUUCGCAUGCCUUCUUGGCUAUGGAGGAUCAACUGGUGCAAUUGAAAUUCCUUAUAAAGUUUGGUUGUGAUGGUCGCUAUUUUUCAAAGGAUGCUGUUGAAUUUCAAGAUUGAAACCGCUGGCUUUCAAUCUUUUUAAACAAGUUACCUUUGUAAGGUUGUCUUUGUGUUAGAAUUGCAACAGUUUAUGCAACUUUUCAAUCUUUAAACUGUUUCAGGGUUUUUUCAAAGUUUAUUUGGUUGCUGGAAAAAAACUGUGAAAUGAAGGGCUUCAGAGUUCGAUCAUUUGUGCCUCAAAAUUGGUAAGGUUUCUUUCCCCUAUAUAAUUUUGAUUGGUACUUAUAGAUUUUCAUCAUAAAUUAUUGUAUUCUCUUGUAAAGAAGUUCAUUUUUGACACUUAUGUAAACUUUAACACCACUUCACCAGAUAACUUAAAUUUGUUUUGUUUGAUCAUUAUGUUAUAAUAUUCUAUGUGGUUAUAAGUUUGAAAAAUGUGGGGAGACGGAUCAGUUAUGAACAAAUUAGCAUGGUUCAUCCUAAUGUUAUAUAAGUUAGGUUGCUGAUUUGUUUCCUCAUCUCUUCAUUGGUGAUUUGUGUUUUCAGUGACCUUCCAUUCUUGGGUAAUAAGUUUUUGUGAAGAUAAUGUGUUCAGUUCUUUUUUUUAAAUUUCUGUUAUGUGUGGUUCUAUGUCAUGUGAUUAGAGGUUCCAAAAUAGAAACAUUACUUAUUUUAUUUGGUCAGAGUGGGGAGGAAGUUCUGUUCAAUUUUGGUUUUUCCAAUGGCUUAGGAAGAAAUUAUGUCACUAUUGGUAUUGCAGUUGUCCGCUUGCAUAAAUUACAAGAGGACACCACUUUCAGCUUGUACCGUUUGGCUCUGGCAGAAAACGUUGUGUUGGAAUGCAAUUAGGGAUUACUGUGGUACACUUUGUGUUGGCACAGCUUGUGCAUUGUUUUGAUUGGGAACUUCCAGAUAACAUGUUGCCAAAUGAGUUGGAUAUGACUGAGGAGUUUGGUUAGUAGUUUCAAGGGCCAAGAAUCUGCUCGCUAUUCCCUCAUUUCGCCUUCAGAAUUGAGCAUGGAUGUUGUGGACUAGCUAUCUUUUUUUUUUCUUUUUUUUUCUUUUUUUUUUAAUGCUGUUUACAUUUGUUUUCUUCACUUGAAGAGGAGAACAAGCACUGGUAUAAAUUAAAUAAGUUUGUGUCAAAUUUUCAAUAAUGAAAAGU